AGUGAACGCUGGCGGUAGGCCCAACACAUGCAAGUCGAACGGCAGCACAGUAAGAGCUUGCUCUUACGGGUGGCGAGUGGCGGACGGGUGAGGAAUACAUCGGAAUCUACUUUUUCGUGGGGGAUAACGUAGGGAAACUUACGCUAAUACCGCAUACGACCUACGGGUGAAAGCAGGGGAUCUUCGGACCUUGCGCGAUUGAAUGAGCCGAUGUCGGAUUAGCUAGUUGGCGGGGUAAAGGCCCACCAAGGCGACGAUCCGUAGCUGGUCUGAGAGGAUGAUCAGCCACACUGGAACUGAGACACGGUCCAGACUCCUACGGGAGGCAGCAGUGGGGAAUAUUGGACAAUGGGCGCAAGCCUGAUCCAGCCAUACCGCGUGGGUGAAGAAGGCCUUCGGGUUGUAAAGCCCUUUUGUUGGGAAAGAAAAGCAGCAGGUUAAUACCCCGCUGUUCUGGCGGUACCCAAAGAAUAAGCACCGGCUAACUUCGUG
rnacentral:rRNA from 1 species